GGUUCAUCCCAAUGGCCUAGAGAUCCAGGACAGUAGAGGUUCCAGUACCAUAGGACAACUACCAAUGGCAGUAGCAGCUAUAGAAUAUAGAUAGCCUGAGCCUUUGAAUAUACCUGUUGGCAGAGCAGAGAAGCAGAGCUACCCAAGGUCUUUGGAACCAGAAUAUAGUCAGUGACUCCCAGACGUCUGGCAGAACCCACAGUUAAGAGACUGGAUGUUUAGAGAGACUUUGGAUAUUUUAAAGAGACUGAACUUUUAAUAAACCUUGGGCCUUUCAAAA